GCCAGCUGUGGCUGAGUGGAUAAGGCGAUGGACUUAAAUUCCAUUGGUGUCUCUCCGCGUAGGUUUGAAUCAUACCGGCUACG